AACGUAGGAGGCGAGCGUUAUCCGGAUUCACUGGGCGUAAAGCGCGUGCAGGUGGCUCGGUAAGUUGGGCGUGAAAUCUCCCGGCUCAACUGGGAGAGGUCGUUCAAUACUACCGAGCUAGAGAGCAGAAGAGGAAGAUGGAAUUCCCGGUGUAGUGGUGAAAUGCGUAGAUAUUGGGAAGAACACCGGUGGCGAAGGCGGCGACCUGGUCCAUUACUGACGCUGAGGCGCGACAGCGGUGGGGAGCAAACAGG
rnacentral:rRNA from 1 species